CGGGGUGAGUAACGCGUGGGUAACCUGCCAUAUACAGGGGGAUAACAGCGAGAAAUUGCUGCUAAAACCGCAUAAGCGCACGGAGUCGCAUGACUCAGUGUGAAAAACUCCGGUGGUAUAUGAUGGACCCGCGUCUGAUUAGCCAGUUGGCAGGGUAACGGCCUACCAAAGCGACGAUCAGUAGCCGGCCUGAGAGGGUGGACGGCCACAUUGGGACUGAGACACGGCCCAAACUCCUACGGAAGGCAGCAG
rnacentral:rRNA from 1 species